rnacentral:rRNA from 1 species
CCUACGGGAGGCUGCAGUGGGGAAUAUUGCACAAUGGGCGCAAGCCUGAUGCAGCCAUGCCGCGUGUGUGAAGAAGGCCUUCGGGUUGUAAAGCACUUUCAGCGGGGAGGAAGGCGGUGAGGUUAAUAACCUCAUCGAUUGACGUUACCCGCAGAAGAAGCACCGGCUAACUCCGUGCCAGCAGCCGCGGUAAUACGGAGGGUGCAAGCGUUAAUCGGAAUUACUGGGCGUAAAGCGCACGCAGGCGGUCUGUCAAGUCGGAUGUGAAAUCCCCGGGCUCAACCUGGGAACUGCAUUCGAAACUGGCAGGCUGGAGUCUGGUAGAGGGGGGUAGAAUUCCAGGUGUAGCGGUGAAAUGCGUAGAGAUCUGGAGGAAUACCGGUGGCGAAGGCGGCCCCCGGGACAAAGACUGACGCUCAGGUGCGAAAGCGGGGGGAGCAAACAGGAUUAGAUACCCGAUAGUC